UCUGGUUCUUUUAACUUUAUGGUAACACCUAAUCCAUUCCGAACUUAGAAGUGAAAUAUAAAGUGAGAAAAUAAUAUUUGGAGGGACACUUCCUGAGAAAAUUUUCUUAGUGCCAGAU
rnacentral:rRNA from 1 species